ensembl:lincRNA
AAAUUCCCGGAGUCAGGUGACCUGGCCCCGGAGCUGCUCCCGGGACCUGCGGGUGGUGCUCUCCGACCGCCCACGCCCCGGCCCGCGGCGCGUCCCGGACGUCCACGCUCGCUUUUCCGCGGAUCGUGGGAAUCCUGCGUGGGAGUGUUAGAAAUGCUAACCGAGCUCAGGUUUUAAACGUGUCUGGGACUGUAAAUUGGCUGCCAGGAUGAAGUGAGUAACUGCUGUCUAAAGUCUGUUAAAAUCUGAUGGGCUAAACAGGUUACAUGAUUUGAGGAGGGGAAAUGUGAUGGUGUGAAGAUCCUCUUAGCCAUCGCAAAGAUACGGCAGGCGUGUGAGGGACAAUUGUGUGUAUUCAUUAGCUGCUUCCACCAAGCAAGAAUCGGCACCCAUGGCUACAGGAUUGGCAGAUCCAUUCUGUGUGCUCUUACAUGGAGAGUCAUGCUGCAAAGGAUGAAGGUCUGAUUCCUGUUCCUGGGGCAUUGUUCUUGAGACACAGCACUGACUUGAGCUCUCUCUACACUAGGGGACUUGUUGGACCCAGAAUUGAACCAUUAUAAUGCGGUUACCAUCUAGACAGGCUCUCUUUCUCUUAUAAAGCAAAUCUCCUCCAGACAGCUGGACACCACACCACUCAAGUGGGGCAGAUGGUACGUCCAUUCUUCUUGUCUCCCUACUGUGUGGGGAUCUAGGCUCAGGUUCCUUUGAUGACUGACAGUCUAGGGUUAUUCAGAUUGAAAUACUUGGCAGUGUAGAGGAGAGAGCCUCAGCAGUCCUGAGUAAGGAUCCGAAGCUCUGAGUUCAGAGUGAAUGUGGACUGUUGAUGUGGACCAUGGCAGGGACCAAUGUCUCAGGCCUAUAGGAAGUUGGCAAAACUUCUUCUGCCGAGACUGCUCCCAAAGAGACCUCCUACUGAGCCGAGCUAAGUCUUCCCCACCGCUAGCUGUGGCCCCUUCAGCACACCAACCACCUCGCCAAGUGUUUCCAUGGAGCUGUGUCUGUCCUUUCUGUAUUCCCUUACCACUUCUUGUCAGGUUUCCAAGAUGAAGCUCUGCUGAACACGGCAUUCAAGAAAAACAAACGAUAAUGUUUGUUGCAAUGAUAAAAUCCAUCUUUCUGUCGGGAGAUGGAAUCCUAGGCUCAGACAUGCUAUGCAAGUACUUGAAUGCUGAACUACAGCCUAAGAUUCAAGCUUUUUGGUAUAAAACUGAUUUCUUUUUUCUUCGAAAAAAAAUUUGUUUUCAUUACGAACCCAUGAGUUUCCCAAAUUGUAAAAGACUUUGCUGAUUAACUUGGCAUUAACAGCACUUAUAAUUCAGUGACUGAAUGAUCAAUGUAUAAUGUGUCCAAAUCUUUCACAGGAAGAGGAUCUGCUCCAAGUGCAAAAUAGAACAGUAGAAUUUAAUGUAUCAGUAAAUAAGUCCAUGUUGUCAUUUAAGAACUAUAAUUCAUUUUAAAAGGGGAUUUCUUUUUUUUUGUGCAGGGGAACAAACCGAGGGCCCUGAGCUCCCUAGGUAUGUGCCCUUCUGCAGAGCUGCUUGCCGACCAACUCAUCUUUAGCAAAGACGUAUUUGUGAUGUUUUAGACAGAAACAAAGGAGACAGUCGUAUAUUAUCUGAAACAAGUAUACAAAAACAUUCCUCCCUUUUUCAGUGACAGCUAUCCUCCUGCCCCACAUGCAUGGUGGAUCCCCAGAGCACAGCAGAAUGUGCAAAUGCUUAAGUCCUCAGUGGGAAAUGUCGUGCCAUUUGCAUAUAUUUUCCCAUGUACUUUAAAUCACCUCGGGAUUAUUUACAAUACCUGACAUGAUGUAAGCAUCCUAUAAAUGCUUGUUAUCAUGUGCUCUUUAAAGAAUAAUGAGAGGUAUAGGGCAAGGUCCUUACAUGUUUAUUACCAGUGCACGUUAAACCAUAUUUUGACUCUGGGUGAAUUUGCAGAUGUGGAAACUGGGGCUAUAGAAGACUGACUGCUAUUAUCUAUGUAUGACCAGAUUUCCUUCAAAUAGUUCAACUAAAGCAACACAUUGCAGCAAAUUAAAUGCAGAAGCAGAGAUGAGAUUCCAGAUGUCUUUUGUUAGACUAAACUUUAAAGAACUUGCAAAAAUGCAAAAAUAAUUUCAAUUCUGUCAUUUGAUGUUCUUUCACUGUGAAAGUAUGUUCCUUUGUCAUAAAACUACAUUAUGAUAACAUGUUACAG